AACGAACGCUGGCGGCAUGCCUAACACAUGCAAGUCGAACGAGAUCUUCGGGUCUAGUGGCGCACGGGUUCGUAACGCGUGGGAAUCUGCCCUUUGGUUCGGAAUAACAGUUGGAAACGACUGCUAAUACCGGAUGAUGACGAAAGUCCAAAGAUUUAUCGCCAGAGGAUGAGCCCGCGUAGGAUUAGCUAGUUGGUGUGGUAAAGGCGCACCAAGGCGGCGAUCCUUAGCUGAUCUGAGAGGAUGAUCAGCCACACUGGGACUGAGGCACGGCCCAGACUCCUACGGGAGGCAGCAGUGGGGAAUAUUGGACAAUGGGCGAAAGCCUGAUCCAGCAAUGCCGCGUGAGUGAUGAAGGCCUUAGGGUUGUAAAGCUCUUUUACCCGGGAUGAUAAUGACAGUACCGGGAGAAUAAGCUCCGGCUAACUCCGUGCCAGCAGCCGCCGUAA
rnacentral:rRNA from 1 species